GUCCUUUAGAUUAAUAAUUUAAGGUCUGACCUGCCCACUGAAAAGUUUAAAUGGCCGCAGUAAUUUGACUGUGCGAAGGUAGCAUAAUCAUUAGUUUUUUAAUUAAAAGCUUGUAUGAAUGGUUGGACGAGAUAAAAUCUGUCUUUGAUUAAAUUUUAGAAUUUAAUUUUUAAGUUAAAAAGCUUAAAUUUUUAUAAAAGACGAGAAGACCCUAUAGAUCUUUAUAGUAUUUAAUUUAUUUUUAAUUAGGAUUAUUUUAUUAUUUAAAUUUAAUAUUAUUUUAUUGGGGUAAUAUGAAGAUUAGUUAAAUUCUUUAUUAUAUUUUUUCAAUAAUUUUUGUUUAUUUGAUCCUUAAUUUAAGAUUAAAAGAUUAAGUUACCUUAGGGAUAACAGCGUAAUUUUUUUAAAGAGUUCAUAUCGAUAAAAAAGUUUGCGACCUCGAUGUUGGAUUAAAAAUAAUUCUAGGUGUAGAAGUUUAGAGUAUUGGUCUGUUCGACCAUUAUAUUUUU
rnacentral:rRNA from 1 species